UACGGAAGGCAGCAGGGGGAAUAUUGCACAAUGGGCGCAAGCCUGAUGCAGCCAUGCCGCGUGUAUGAAAAAGGCCUUCGGGUUGUAAAGUACUUUCAGUCGUGAGGAAGGUGUUAAGGUUAAUAACCUUAGCAAUUGACGUUAGCGACAGAAGAAGCACCGGCUAACUCCGUGCCAGCAGCCGCGGUAAUACGGAGGGUGCGAGCGUUAAUCGGAAUUACUGGGCGUAAAGGGCACGCAGGCGGUUAAUUAAGUUGGAUGUGAAAUCCCCGGGCUUUAACCUGGGAAUGGCAUUCAAGACUGGUUAGCUAGAGUCUUGUAGAGGGGGUAGAAUUCCAUGUGUAGCGGUGAAAUGCGUAGAGAUGUGGAGGAAUACCGGUGGCGAAAGGCGGCCCCUGGACAAAGACUGACGCUCAUGUGCGAAAGCGUGGGGAGCAAACAGGGAUUAGAUACC
rnacentral:rRNA from 1 species